AAGCCAGUCAGGUUGCCUGGUGUAAGGGCACCAACUUAGUCUCGGUUAUUUGUGAUAGGUGUGAGGGUGCAGUUGUAAGCUGUCUUCGGUAAUGUAGGGUGCACCAAACCACCAGGGUUGUGUCUAUCAGGGGAUUUCUGUGCGUAGGUCACUGAUCGUCAAGUUACCUAACCACAAUCUAGAGGGGAGUUUGCCUUCUGCCCGCAGAGUUUCCAUGGCUACCCAUUGUUUCAAGGGAUGGCGUAUGUGCCAGUCUACCAGACAGUACAGGUGUGUG